CCUUACCUGGCCUUGACAUACUAAGAACUUUCCAGAGAUGGAUUGGUGCCUUCGGGAACUUAGAUACAGGUGCUGCAUGGCUGUCGUCAGCUCGUGUCGUGAGAUGUUGGGUUAAGUCCCGCAACGAGCGCAACCCUUUUCCUUAUUUGCCAGCGGGUAAUGCCGGGAACUUUAAGGAUACUGCCAGUGACAAACUGGAGGAAGGCGGGGACGACGUCAAGUUAUCAUGGCCCUUACGGCCAGGACUACACACGUGCUACAAUGGUCGGUACAAAGGGUUGCUACCUCGCGAGAGGAUGCUAAUCUCAAAAAGCCGAUCGUAGUCCGGAUCGCAGUCUGCAACUCGACUGCGUGAAGUCGGAAUCGCUAGUAAUCGCGGAUCAGAAUGCCGCGGUGAAUACGUUCCCGGGCCUUGUACACACCGCCCGUCACACCAUGGGAGUUUGUUGCACCAGAAGUAGGUAGUCUAACCGCAAGGAGGACGCUUACCACGGUGUGGCCGAUGACUGGGGUGAAGUCGUAACAAGGUAGGCGUAGAUGA
rnacentral:rRNA from 1 species